GCCGAUGUAGCUUAGUAGGUUAUAGCACGUGAUUUGUAAUCUCGGGGUCGAGGGUUCGAAUCCCUCCAUCGGCU
rnacentral:tRNA from 6 species